UAAGUUUGUGUCACAGUUUCGCGCAAGCUCAAGUUAUGCUAGCUCUACCCAUAUAAGAAAGCUUCCCAUCCAUGGCGUACAUGUUACUGUAUGAACUGAGAUAGCAAGUUGUAAAGUUAAUUAUAGAGGAUUAUGCUUUUCGGAAUCUGCAACGGGCUUGUUUUGAAGGGAACCCAUUUAAGACUAUUCCAGGACCAUUCAAACUAUUCUGGCAAUGCAUGCGAUCUAAGCCUGGGUAUGUUCCAAUCCUUUAUGGUUUGAUUUAGUUUAUUUCUCCAAUAAGUUAUAGGAAUUUUCUUGGCUUGAACGAUUUGCAUUAGGAAGAGUUGCCUUUUUUUGUUGAAAAGUUUUGGAAAGAAGGUUAAGUAACAUUAUUAAAUUAUCGUGAAUUCUUGCUGCUAAUGAGGAUACAAAAAUUACAUAAAAUUAACCAAAGUUGCCUUGUUUAUCUUUUUUCGAACUCUUUCCUUUCUCCUGCUUGCUAGGGCAUGAAUCCUUCUGUGGCAAAUAAAAUUGGCAUGGUCUGUUGGAUGUCCAAACCAAUCCUGUUCAUCCUUUCUUGCCCUUGCUACUACCAACAAAUUGGAUAUCAUACCAAUUUUGGUAGACCAAGCAGUGGCCUUUCCAGACGGUGGCAUCAGCCCAUGCAAAAUCCCCAAAACACCAAGAAGGUACGGCGAAUAAGUCAUCAGCAUCUUAUCAGAAGCCUUGCCUGACCCUUUCACCUCUGCUAAUACAGCAGCCUGAGAGAAAAAUUUAAACUUCAGAUAAGCCAAGUUGCUACAAGAAACAUUUCAGUGUCCUAAUACAGAAGUUUGAUAUGUUCAUCUCUUUUCAAAUUCUUUUCUUACACCUUGUUGCUAGGGUAUGAAAUCUGUUGCAAUUAAAAUCGGCAUGGUCUGUUCUUUGAGUGUCUUCUUUCUAAAAAGUGCAUAGGAACUUCUUGGUUUUCUACGAAUGGAUCACUUAUACAUUAGGUAUUUGUAGCUGCUGCUUGUUUGUAAACUCUCUCUCUCGUUGUGCUGGGAGGAGCCAACAAAGCCGUUCUACUAUCUGCAGUUUGAUCCUCCAAAGAGAGAGGUGAAACUUGAAUGACUCAACUUCCUUGAUGCUUUUAGGACUUCUCUUUUUUCCUUUUCUGGAUCGUCAUGAUCUUUAGUUUUGGUUUUAUGCCACUAUAACAUUGUUCGGUUUUGCACACUGCUUUUAUUCUGUCCUUUGUAGCAAAUCGGCAUCGUUUGCGGUAGGGGUCAGCUUAUAAUCAUUAAAAAAAAGGGCUUAAUUGGGCCUUA